GGACUUCUUGGUAUGUAUUGGAUGAGUUAAGUUAUAAACCCCUUUUACAAGUAUCAAUUUCGGAGGGCAAGUCUGGUGCCAGCAGCCGCGGUAAUUCCAGCUCCAAUAGCGUAUAUUAAAGUUGUUGCAGUUAAAAAGCUCGUAGUUGGAUUUCUGUUAAUAAUUUAUAUAAAAUAUUUUGAUGAAUAUUUAUAUAAUAUUAACAUAAUUCAUAUUACUAUAUAUUUUAGUAUAUGAAAUUUUACUUUGAGAAAAUUAGAGUGCUUAAAGCAGGCAUAUGCCUUGAAUACUCCAGCAUGGAAUAAUAUUAAAGAUUUUUAUCUUUCUUAUUGGUUCUAAGAUAAGAAUAAUGAUUAAUAGGGACAGUUGGGGGCAUUUGUAUUUAACAGUCAGAGGUGAAAUUCUUAGAUUUGUUAAAGACAAACUAAUGCGAAAGCAUUUGCCAAGGAUGUUUUCAUUAAUCAAGAACGAAAGUUAGGGGAUCGAAGACGAUCAGAUACCGUCGUAGUCUUAACCAUAAACUAUGCCAACAAGAGAUUGGAGGUUGUUCCUUACUCC
rnacentral:rRNA from 1 species